UACGGGGGGGGCAAGCGUUGUUCGGAAUUACUGGGCGUAAAGGGCUCGUAGGUGGCCAACUAAGUCAUACGUGAAAUCCCUCGGCUUAACCGGGGAACUGCGUCUGAUACUGGAUGGCUUGAAUCUGGGAGAGGGAUGCAGAAUUCCAGGUGUAGCGGUGAAAUGCGUAGAUAUCUGGAGGAACACCGGUGGCGAAGGCGGAUCUCUGGGCCUUACCUGACGCUCAGGUGCGAAAGCUAGGGGAGCGAACAGG
rnacentral:rRNA from 1 species